CCUGAACGCUGGCGGCGUGGCUAAGACAUGCAAGUCGAACGGGCCUAGCAAUAGGUCAGUGGCGGACGGGUGAGUAAUGUAUCGCUAACGUACCCUGGAGUCUGGGAUAGCCAGCCGAAAGGCUGGGUAAUACCAGAUGAAGUGUCCUUGUCGCAUGGCGAGGACCCCAAAGGAGCAAUCCGAUCUGGGAGCGGGCGAUAUCGUAUCAGCUAGUGGUGAGGUAACGGCUCACCAAGGCGACGACGCGUAGCCGGACUGAGAGGUUGGCCGGCCACAUUGGGACUGAGACACUGCCCAGACUCCUACGGGGGCGUGCAGUAACGAAUCUUCCGCAAUGCACGAAAGUGUGACGGAGCGACGCCG
rnacentral:rRNA from 1 species